GACGAACGCUGGCGGCGUGCUUAACACAUGCAAGUCGAACGGAAAGGCUCCAGCUUGCUGGAGUACUCGAGUGGCGAACGGGUGAGUAACACGUGGGUAAUCUGCCCUGCACUCUGGGAUAAGCCUGGGAAACUGGGUCUAAUACUGGAUAUGACCUUUCUCCUUAUGGGGUUUGGUGGAAAGUUUUUCGGUGUAGGAUGAGCCCGCGGCCUAUCAGCUUGUUGGUGGGGUGAUGGCCUACCAAGGCGACGACGGGUAGCCGGCCUGAGAGGGUGAUCGGCCACAUUGGGACUGAGAUACGGCCCAGACUCCUACGGGAGGCAGCAGUGGGGAAUAUUGCACAAUGGGCGGAAGCCUGAUGCAGCGACGCCGCGUGAGGGAUGACGGCCUUCGGGUUGUAAACCUCUUUCAGCAGGGACGAAGCGUAAGUGACGGUACCUGCAGAAGAAGCACCGGCUAACUAUGUGCCAGCCGCCGCCGUAA
rnacentral:rRNA from 1 species